GAGCCUCAGGGCAGUUUUGAAAGUGAAUUAAACAAUUAGACGAGCUUUUAUGAACAACAAAAAUGGAUUCAAAUAUUUGUUUGGUUAAGAAUAUGCUUGUACUAUGUGCAUUCUAGCAUCAGCGCAGGGACUAAUUGUGAAGCAAAACCACAUUUUGUCAGAGUGACUUUGCUCAGUUUCUAACCAGAUUUUUUUCCUUUCUCCAAAACAGAUGCAAACUCUUCAAGAGACUUCAAGAGGAGGCUGCACCCUCUCAGGGGGUGCCUCUGAAGCAGAUUGGCUCCUUGCAUAGAUCAAUCCCUGACUGCCAUUCUUCCCACCAUGGGAAUCCCUGCCUGUUGGCUGUGAUGUCAAGAGAACCCCCAGCCAAUCCCCACACAGAUCCUUGUUGGGCUCUUUCUCAGCCAAUCAGGAGAGGGAGCAGGACAUCUGAAUAGCUGUCAGAACUGUAUAAGAUGUCUUGCAUUUCUCCGUAUGUUUAUGCUUGUAUCAUUUGAAGCAAAUUGUUGUACUUACAUCCUUUUUGGCUGAAUUGUAAUAAACCUCUGUGAUUUGUCUUCAA